GGGCCCGUGGUCUAGUGGUAUGACGCUGCCCUCACGAGGCAGAGGUCCCGGGUUCGAAUCCCGGCGGGCCCACCA
rnacentral:tRNA from 1 species